GCAUUUGUGGUGGAACUGGAGAUACACAGGACACUUAAAAUGUCCCGCCCUAGAGGAUUGUGGGUUCGAGUCCCACCAGAUGCA
rnacentral:tRNA from 1 species